GACGAACGCUGGCGGCGUGCCUAAUACAUGCAAGUAGAACGCUGAAGGAGGAGCUUGCUUCUCUGGAUGAGUUGCGAACGGGUGAGUAACGCGUAGGUAACCUGCCUGGUAGCGGGGGAUAACUAUUGGAAACGAUAGCUAAUACCGCAUAAGAGUAGAUGUUGCAUGACAUUUGCUUAAAAGGUGCAAUUGCAUCACUACCAGAUGGCCCUGCGUUGUAUUAGCUAGUUGGUGGGGUAACGGCUCACCAAGGCGACGAUACAUAGCCGACCUGAGAGGGUGAUCGGCCACACUGGGACUGAGACACGGCCCAGACUCCUACGGGAGGCAGCAGUAGGGAAUCUUCGGCAAUGGACGGAAGUCUGACCGAGCAACGCCGCGUGAGUGAAGAAGGUUGUCGGAUCGUAAAGCUCUGUUGUAAGAGAAGAACGAGUGUGAGAGUGGAAAGUGCACACUGUGACGGUAUCUUAACAGAAAGGGACGGCUAACUACGUG
rnacentral:rRNA from 1 species